GACGAACGCUGGCGGCGUGCCUAAUACAUGCAAGUUGAGCGAUGAAGAUUGGUGCUUGCACCAAUUUGAAGAGCAGCGAACGGGUGAGUAACGCGUGGGGAAUCUGCCUUUGAGCGGGGGACAACAUUUGGAAACGAAUGCUAAUACCGCAUAACAACUUUAAACAUAAGUUUUAAGUUUGAAAGAUGCAAUUGCAUCACUCAAAGAUGAUCCCGCGUUGUAUUAGCUAGUUGGUGAGGUAAAGGCUCACCAAGGCGAUGAUACAUAGCCGACCUGAGAGGGUGAUCGGCCACAUUGGGACUGAGACACGGCCCAAACUCCUACGGGAGGCAGCAGUAGGGAAUCUUCAGCAAUGGACGAAAGUCUGACCGAGCAACGCCGCGUGAGUGAAGAAGGUUUUCGGAUCGUAAAACUCUGUUGGUAGAGAAGAACGUUGGUGAGAGUGGAAAGCUCAUCAAGUGACGGUAACUACCCAGAAAGGGACGGCUAACUACGUG
rnacentral:rRNA from 1 species